CCCUUAGACGUUCUGGGCCGCACGCGCGCUACACUGACGAAGGCAACGAGCUUUCCUUUACCGAAAGGUACGGGUAAUCUUUUGAAACUUCGUCGUGCUGGGGAUAGAUCCUUGCAAUUUUUGAUCUUAAACGAGGAAUGCCUAGUAAGCGCAAGUCAUCAACUUGCGUUGAUUACGUCCCUGCCCUUUGUACACACCGUCCGUCGCUACUACCGAUUGAAUGGUUUAGUGAGGCCUUCGGAUCCGCGACUCGUUUGUGGAGAAGUUGGACAAACUCAGUCAUUUAGAGGAAGUAAAAGUCGUAACA
rnacentral:rRNA from 1 species